rnacentral:lncRNA from 1 species
GUCUCGGCCUCGGGAGGACCGGCUGCGGCCGCGACUGCGCAGGCGCCGCGCCCAUACCAGGAACGCGCACCAGAGCGCAGACGCGUCACAGUCAACCACGAGAUCGCGUACUUUUCAGACUCGGCCGAAUGAAUGACCUCCCAAUCGGGAGCGCCCUCGACCCAUCGCAGCACGCGCGAGCGAUCCUUGGACAUCUUGACCGUCACGUGGUACCCGUGCCGCCGAGACUGUACACCGACACAGAUCGGCUUGCCGCGCCGUUGCGCUUUCAACGCGCCCGCCCAGGCGCCGUACAGCCACGGCCAGUCUUUGCCCGAGACGAGUGCGCGCGCAAAGGGCGGGGGCAGACCGACGUCGACAGGGCUCGGCGUCGGCAGGGUGUGAGACGCAGCCAGCAGACGUUCGUACAUGGCGCGCGCCUCGGGCGGCCAGUCGUCGGCACACAGGGCAUAACGCGCAGACGAUGAAACAGAUGACGUGGCAAAGAGUUGAGGAAAAUCGCGCCGAAACAGACGGCGCCAUAGACGGGGCUCGCGCGCCACCAGGCGAAAGCGCCUGGUCGCCAUUGACAUGCCGCACAAGUCACGUGCGUCCAGACGCUCGGCGAUGGCCAGGACGAUUUCGUCGGGCAGGUGCGCCAUGGUCGUCGAGUCGGGUACCCACAGAAAGCAACGUCUGCGCGGGAACCGGGAGAUCGCGUCGGGCUAGUGUCUGGAAGAGGCGACGAGGAAGGACAGAGCCAGUCGCACCUUGGAGUCGUCUGCGGGUUCAACAAAGUCGGUCGACGCCUUUUUUUCGUCUGCGCAAACCCACCGCCUCCUCAAACCAAUCAGGGCUAGCAUCGUCAAUAAAAAAUGUUUUGUC